AGAAAAGCUCUGCAUCUUCAAGUUCAAGGUCACAACAAGUUUGUCUUACCUGAACUGGUUCCCUGAUUGCAUUUGGAUAACAGACGUUCUUCUAUCGCACUGCUGAUGCAUGGGGUCUUGAGAAAUAAAAAGUUUCAAGCAUGUCUGGACUGUUAGUAGUAGAAGUUGAACUUUACCAGUUUGAAGGUGAGGAUGUUUGUUUCGUCCACAGACCUGUUACCCGUCACCUAUU
rnacentral:lncRNA from 1 species